AUGUAUCGAGAAAGGACACUUUUUUUAGGUCAAGAGAUUCGUUGCGAGAUCACGAAUCAUAUUACAGGUCUCAUGGUAUAUCUGAGUAUAGAAGAUGGAAUUAGUGAUACUUUUUUGAUCAGCAAAAUUCUUUCUAAUAUUUUAGAUAGAAGAAACAUUUCUUCUAUCUAA
rnacentral:rRNA from 1 species